rnacentral:lncRNA from 1 species
GUGGAUUCUCCGUCAACUCAUUCCUGCUUGCUAUAUUAUUGCUGGUCAAGUUGGCUAUUCACCGCAGGCCAAAACGACCCGGUGCUCCCGACGGCCAGUCCGCCAUUGCAUAGAGGAGUGGUACAUGACACCAGGCCAGACUUUCUGGUUAUCUCAGAGACUUGGCUGAAUCAUGGUAUUAUGGAUAAUGAUGUUGCCGGUGUUGACUAUAACAUUUUCAGAUGUGAUAGACACAUUGCCCUGGCACAUUACAUCCAUCUGCGGCAAAAGAGAAAAUCUAGUUUGGUUUUUUAGACUCUCAGUGUUAUUACAUUCCUUCCACAGUCCUUUCUGUAACAAAACUACACCUUGAUCUGAACAACCUGCAUCCAAUGCGCUAGACCUGUUAUCUAAUGGCUCCACCCAGAUCGCCUUUGUGGUUAGUGAUCUGUCUAGUAUCCGUGGCGUUAGUACUAACUGUACCCCAAUGCAUUCUCGUGUCUUCAUAUUUGGCAACCCAUUCUAUGCUAGUAGUCAAUCUUUCCUUUUUUACAUGGUUCAGUAACCAUCAAAGCAACCGACACGAAAGACUAUUGCAGCGGCUUCCAGCUCACCCAUUAUGCAGCUGGAUCUGGUUUCACGUGAGAUGUGUGAACCCACUGAGGAGAGGCUGUGGUCUUCACCGCUGCACGUGCUGUAAGGAGUACUGUAUGUGGUCCUGACCUACCCCGUCCCAACACCCCCGCCUGGUGGAUGCUGAUGUACAACUCGGUCUCCAGGAUUCAGUCCGUGCUCUCGAUCUUCCAGUCUGGAUGACCAGACGACGGGUCCGGAACAGCGAUACCAUUCCGGACAUCCGCUGCCCAUCCUUGGAGCGGCCUGCUUCAUUCGCAUAAACCCAACCCGGAUCAAUCACCAGAGGGGGACCACAACGAUGGUCCACAACCAGGACAACCCACGAUCAUUUUUAUGUUGGUUUGCAACUUGCAGGAUAAUCGCAAGAUUGAACCCAACAAAGGGGAAUUGUCAUGACGUUGCCCUGUUGGGUGUGGUUUAUGACCCCCAUAGAUACCUUUCCCCCUUUUCUCGCCACUCUACAGAAUGGACUCUUGGAAAGCCCUUUGUUAACAUAGAGAGAGUAUGGUAACAUCAAAAUGUUGGGGAAUGGAACAAUAUUUCACUUUCUCAACCAGUUGAAAGUGUCAGUUGGUACUUAAAGAAUAUGAUGUCAGAUCAGUUGGUGUCUGGGACAUUAUAUCUGAUGAUAGGAUGACAUAAAUUGUAUCUUGGAAUGUCGACACAUUCCAGUUAUCAGAUUCACAUGGAAUUGUUGUGCAAUUUAAAUGUUUAAAUAUUAAACUAUUUAUGAAAAGAUGAAAUGUAAUUUUAGCUUUUAAAUGAGAGAAUUAUUUUCAUAAGUAAACUAUGCUCACUCAGUGGCCACACCCAAGUGAACAGACAUUGGUUGAGAACUAUGAAACACGCCCUUCUCUCCCCCACUACAAAAGCACGUUGACGGAAGUCAAAUUUAGUUCCCGAUGACAUGAGGACUGGUGUCCAUAUGUUUAAAAGGGCUAAUUUCAACGUGGAGGUGAUGAUCACCACGCUGGAAGGAUGAAUUUCUACUAGACCAGCCAGAAUUCAGCGUGAGCUGAUUAUGGCAAAAUGGAGUGCUUUGAGGACAUCGACACAGCCCUGAAGCAUGGCUACCCCAAUCAACUGCAACACAAACUACAGGACAGAUGCAUAAAGUGCCUCAACCACCUCCAAAACCAGGGAGAGGCGCUAAACACCCCCAGACAGGGAUAAGGGGACCAGGCAGAGGGUGUGUGUAGCAGGCCCAGGGGCACAAAGUCCCCAAACUCCCAGCAGCAACAGAAUGGGAGUGCUCCUGUGUCAUGUGACUUUACUGUGGUGCAGUCCAGCCAGGCCGUGUGCAUUGCCAUGGCGAUAUUUCCCACGCUGAGUGUUCUGAACCAGUCCUGCAGCCUCAACACAAGCCUCACUUUCAGAACUACUCACACACACACUACUUGGACUCACCUCAACCAGACCUAUGCUCUACUGAUGAACUGGUUUCUACUGUCAAUCAAUCACAUCAGCCGAUGUCACAAAGUGCUAUACAGAAACCCAGUCUAAAACCCCAAACAGCAAGCAAUGCAGAUGUAGAAGCAGAGAGAGUCCUGUUUCCUGUUCUACUUCUCACUCUGUGUCAGAUGGAGUAUCUGUCUCUAUCAGAACAUCCAGAGACAUAUCUCGUGGACAGGUGAUCCUCUACUGCUAUGGUGAGGAAGAGACACGUCUGUCAACCUCUGGUUCUGUCCUUCUGUCUGUCAGUCUGUCCAUAUGUACACUACCGUUCAAAAGUUUGGGGUCACAUAGAAAUGUCCUUGUUGAAAGAGAAGCACAUUUUUUGUCCAUUAAAAUCACAUAAAAUUGAUCAGAAAUACAGUGUAGACAUUGUUAAUGUUGUAAAUGACUAUUGUACCUGGAAAUGGCAAAAUUUUGUGGAUUAUCUACAAAGGCACACAGAGGCCCAUUAUCAGCAACCAUCACUCCUGUGUUCCAAGUUUAUCAUUUUAAAAGGCUAAUUGAUCAUCAGAAAACCCUUUUGCAAUUAUGUUAGCACAGCUGUUGUUCUGAUUAAAGAAGCAAUACAACUGGCCUUCUUUAGACUAGUUGAGUAUCUGGAGAAUCAGCAUUUGUGGGUUCGAUUACAGGCUCAAAAGACCUUUCUUCUGAAGCUCGUCAGUCUAUUCUUUUUCUGAGAAACUGUAAUACUAUAACUAUAACUAUAAUAACACAGUACAUCAUACAACAUUAUUACACCACUACAUAUCUACAGUACAAAAUGUAUAAAACCACCAUACAACAAUAUUACAAUGUACGUGUGUAGUGUGUGUGCUGGAGUGUGUGUGUGUGUCUGUGUGUCUCUUCACAGUCUGUGCUGUUCCAUAAGGUGUAGUAUGUUUAUUUCAUUUGUAUUAAAGUUACUUGAUGUGGAAAUGAGAUCCAUGUAGUCAUGGCUCUAAGUAGUACUGUGCGCCUCCCAUAGUCUAUUCUGGACUUGGGGAAUGUGAAGAGACCUCUGGUGGCAUGUCUUGUGGGGUAUGCAUGGGUGUCCUAGCUGUGCACCAGUAGUUCAAACAGACAGCUCGGUGCUUUCAACAUGUCAAUACCUCUCACAAAGACAAGUAGUGAUGAAGUCAAUCUCUCCUCUGCUUUAAACCAGGACAGAUUGACAUGCAUGUCAAUGAUAGCUCUGUGUGUACAUGUAAGUGCCAGA